rnacentral:tRNA from 1 species
GCCGAGGUGGCACAACCUGGUACUGCGCAGCCCUGGAAAGGCUGUUUCCUAACGGAUAUGAGGGUUCAAAUCCCUCCCUCGGCG